AAAGGAAUAGACGGGGACCCGCACAAGCAGCGGAGCAUGUGGUUUAAUUCGAAGCAACGCGAAAAACCUUACCAAGACUUGACAUCCUCUGACGGAUAUGGAAACAUAAACUUCUCUUUACGAGACAGGGAGACAGGUGGUGCAUGGUUGUCGUCAGCUCGUGUCGUGAGAUGUUGGGUUAAGUCCCGCAACGAGCGCAACCCUUAUGAACAGUUGCCAAUAUUAAGUUAGGAACUCUGUUCAGACUGCCGUGGAUAACACGGAGGAAGGUGGGGAUGACGUCAAAUCAUCAUGCCCCUUACGUCUUGGGCUACACACGUGCUACAAUGGCUAUUACAAAGAGCAGCGAAACGGCAACGUUAAGCAAAUCUCAAAAAGGUAGUCUCAGUUCGGAUUGUGGGCUGAAACCCGCCCACAUGAAGUCGGAGUUGCUAGUAAUCCCGAAUCAGCAUGUCGGGGUGAAUGCGUUCCCGGGUCUUGUACACACCGCCCGU
rnacentral:rRNA from 1 species